GGGGCCAUGAUGACCCUUCGGUUCAUGCUGCGAAACCCGAUGGUGCAGUGGGGAUGCAGACCUUGGAGAGCUGAGCCCCCC